CCACUGCUGAGGAGUCCCACAAUAGGACGAAAUGGCCGUCCAGUGC
rnacentral:hammerhead_ribozyme from 1 species